rnacentral:lncRNA from 1 species
AUUUCUGCUCUAAGUAAGUGAUGAUGCACACCCUAACCAAUCAUGAAUCAUCUGAUUUUUAUAUAUCUAGAUAAUGAGUAUUGAACACUUACAGAGCUACACAAAUCCACAGGCAUCUGGAUUAACAGUAUUGUCCAAAACCAUGAAAUUAACAACUGGAAUUAUGCAGGGAUCUAAUCAAGAAAGUACAAGGAUUCUUAAAAGGCGUUUUCCUCAAAUUUCUACAAGUAUUGAGAUUUACAUUAACAUAUCGCAGCAAGCCUGUCAAAGCUAGGUAACAUGGGACAUUGCUG